GAAACCAAGCGGAGUGUCCUUUGGAGCCUCUGGACGGUGUGCAGUCGGACAGCUUGGUUUCUGUCUAAUGAAACUCAUUUCAGGCUUCUCACCUCCAGAACUAGCCUGAGAGUGAGGCCUUUGAAUGAUGCCCUGGACAGAGCUUGGAACAUGAAGGUGAAUACUGUUGUGGGGAGAAUGCAUCCCUUUGCCUGGCUCUGAGCCAGGGCCAGCUUUGGAUCCUGCUAGCCCCAUGGAUAUAGAGGUGACAGUACGAAGACUCACAGUAGUGGGGAAGUCCUGUCCUCAAGUCCAUGCAGCUCAGGAGUGGGAGAACUUGGAUCUGAGUGAGCCCUGAUUGUCGCCUUGAGGACCACUGUAUUUUCAGAGCCUUGCCUUGCUUCUCAGAGGUGAGAGCCACCUCCAUUUCAACACGGCCAUUGCUGGAGCUGAGGCAGCCUCCUAGCGCCCCAAGCAGGACAGAUGCUCUUUGGCUCCUUUGGGUUGAUGGGAAAAUCUGAAGCCCAGGAAGGGAAAGAAGGAUACCCAAUGACACA
rnacentral:lncRNA from 1 species